ACGGUCAUACGACAUUGAAAACACCGGUUCUCGUCAUAUCAACAAGUUAAGCAAUGUUAGGCCUGAUCAGCACUUGGGAGGGUGACCACUUGGGAGUGCUGCAGACU